rnacentral:rRNA from 1 species
UCUAAGUAUCACCUGCCAGACAGGGAAACUGCGUACGGCUCAUUACACCAGCCUUAAUUUACUUGACCUUGACAACCUACUUGGAUAACUGUGGUAAUUCUAGAGCUAAUACAUGCACCAAAGCUCCGAUCCUCGCGGAGAGGAGCGCAUUUGUUCGCCACAAAACCAAGCCCCCAUCUGGGCGUCCAGUGCUGAACCAGAACAACUCAGCUGAUCGCACGGUCUUGUACCGGCGACGUGUCUUUCAAGUGUCUGCCUUAUCAACUUUCGAUGGUAGUGUACCUGACUACCAUGGUUGUGACGGGUAACGGAGGAUAAGGGUUCGACUCCGGAGAAGGGGCCUGAGAAAUGGCCACUACGUCUAAGGAUGGCAGCAGGCGCGCAAAUUACCCACUCUCAACGCGAGGAGGUAGUGACGAGAAAUAACGAGACCGUUCUCAUACGAGGCCGGUUAUUGGAAUGGGUACAAUUUAAA